GCUGGGCGUGGUGGUGCGUGCCUGUAGUCCCAGCUACUCGGGAGGCUGAGGUGGGAGGAUUGCUUGAGCCCAGGAGUUCUGGGCUGUAGUGCACUAUGCCGAUCGGGUAUCUGCACUAAGUUCGGCAUCAUUAUGGUGACCUCCCGGGAGCGGGGACCAUCAGGUUGCCUAAGGAGAGGUGAACCGACUCAGGUCGGAAACAGAGCAGGUCAAAACUCCCAUGCUGAUCAGUAGUGGGAUCUCGCCUGUGAACAGUCACUGCAAUCCAGCCUGGGCAACAUAGUGAGACCCUGUCUCU
rnacentral:SRP_RNA from 1 species